UGCCAGGGCAACUGGAAACCAUUGGCCGUUAUCCUCCGUUUGAGACCGUUAAGCAGUAGGGGCCGGGUGCUCAGAGGUCAUUUGGGAUGAGCAUGAGGGGCGUGAGGGCCUUUCUAAGUGAAGACUGUCCCAUCAGGAGGUUAUCCAGUGGUGCCCACGGCGGGGACACCUGCCCAGGGACUCUGGGUCCCACCGUCCUGCUCUUGGCGCCUUGAGAAGAAAUGAAUUGAAGAGACAGAGAUGGAGUGGACGCAGCACGUGAAGACAGUUCUUUCAAGAAAUUUGGCUGUAAAGGAAAAGAGAAAGGAGAGAGAGAGAGAGACAGCAUGAGCAGGG